CAAUAGCGUAUAUUAAAGUUGUUGCGGUUAAAAAGCUCGUAGUUGGAUUUCUGCCGAGGACGACCGGUCCGCCCUCUGGGUGAGCAUCUGGGACGGCCUGGGCAUCCUCUUGGGGAACGUAGCUGCACUUGACUGUGUGGUGCGGUAUCCAGGACUUUUACUUUGAGAAAAUUAGAGUGUUCAAAGCAGGCUAUCGCCUUGAAUAUAUUAGCAUGGAAUAAUGAUAUAGGACUUUGGUUCUAUUUUGUUGGUUGUUCGAGGACCGAAGUAAUGAUUGAUAGGGACGGUUGGGGGGCGUCAGUAUUCUGAAGCGAGAGGUGAAAUUCUUGGACCUUCGGAAGACUAACAACUGCGAAAGCAUUCGCCUAGGAUGUUCUCUUUAAUCAAGAACGAAAGUUGGGGGAUCGAAGACGAUCAGAUACCA
rnacentral:rRNA from 1 species